GCCACCGCGCCCAGCCUCCUAUUCUUUUUGAGGAGAAUUUUUCCAUGCAGCUGUCCACUUUUUCCCAAGGGACACAUUUGUGGCCCUUCCCAAAUGUGUCCCGUUUGCCUCUUCAGCCCUGCAGUUUCCUUCUCUGCUGAGUAAGAUCCUUCCAAGAAGCAUUCCUGCUUCACAGUCACCCCCAGAUAAAAUCAGUCACCC
rnacentral:lncRNA from 10 species